GUGAAUCAUCGAAUUUUUGAACGCAAAUUGCGCUCUCUGCGGAUAGGAUGCCUGUUUGAGGGUCAGCCUAAAAAAAAUCGACAUAUUUGCUGUUACGCUGUAACAUGCGUCGUAUAUGGGGUCAUCUUAAACCUUUGGGUUUAAGCGGCUUAAAAUUUUCUUUACGAAUCCAAUAACGUUUCUAAGAUUUGAUCUUCUUAUACGUUUAAGGUAUCGAUCUUUUUUAGUCGUUGCCGUUGCAUCGCAUCUCGGCU
rnacentral:misc_RNA from 1 species